AUUUCUUUCCCAUCUCUCUCCAUAGACCGCCCACCCUCCUUGUCUCUCGUCUCUCUUUCUUUCUAAUCUUACCAUAACUUGGCUUCCGGCCAUUCUUUUCCACUUGUGUCGAAUUCUUCAUAACCUAUGGGUAAUGUCUUUCAGAUUCAAUUUGGUGAUGCCUUGAUCGAUCGUUGCUGGGAUUGCAUUGCUGGACAAGUUCUUUAUCUAUGUCAGUUUGAAGAUUAUCUUCAAGAUCUUGAGACUGCAAGAGAUAAAUUACAAGAGUUGAUGAACGAUGUGAUGCGGAUGGUUAUCAGUGAGGAAACACCACAAACAGUGAAGCUGGAUCGAGAAGGAGGGUGGCUUUCUUGGGUGGAUGCUACAAUUAUUGAAGUUAAUGCUCUCCUCAACAGAGCUACACAAGAAAGACAGAAAUUGUUUAUCGCAAGCUGUUGCUCCAAGAACUACAAAUCCAGCUACAUGUUUGGGAAAAGUGUUUGCAGAAGUUUCAAACAUGUGGUUGCUUUGAUGAGUGAAGGUGAAUUCAAAGAAGUGGUU
rnacentral:misc_RNA from 1 species